rnacentral:rRNA from 1 species
CCUACGGGUGGCUGCAGUGAGGAAUAUUGGUCAAUGGGCGGAAGCCUGAACCAGCCAAGCCGCGUGAAGGACGAAGGUGCCAAGCAUUGUAAACUUCUUUUGUCAAGGGACAAAAUCAGGCUCGAGAGCCUGACCGAGGGUACUUGAAGAAAAAGCAUCAGCUAACUCCGUGCCAGCAGCCGCGGUAAUACGGAGGAUGCGAGCGUUAUCCGGAUUUAUUGGGUUUAAAGGGAGCGUAGGCCGCAUGGCAAGCGUGCUGUGAACUGUCCGGGCUCAACCCGGGCCUUGCAGCGCGAACUGGCGUGCUUGAGUCCGCGGAAAGCAGGCGGAAUUCGUCGUGUAGCGGUGAAAUGCUUAGAUAUGACGAAGAACCCCGAUUGCGAAGGCAGCUUGCUGCAGCGGAACUGACGCUGAUGCUCGAAAGCGCGGGUAUCGAACAGGAUUAGAUACCCUGGUAGUC